rnacentral:lncRNA from 1 species
GGGCUGUUGACUUUAUGGAUCGGAAUCACCAUCAUGAGUGUGGGAAGUGUGACCUCAAGUUUCAGGCAAAUGAAUUCAAUAUAUACCUUUCCCCAGGGUGAGAGGCUCACAAAGCAGAAGGAAUGUCAUUUUUCAGUCAACAGAAAUAGAGCUUUUUGUCUGCAAUAGUCACUUGAAACAGGAAGUACUCUUCAGAGGUUGUUGCUCUUGACCAAGACUAUGGAUGAAGUGGAUACAAGGCUGAGCACUUCCUUUGGGAAGAAACAACAUGGGGAGUGGCUUUCCUGCUCUUUGGAGGUUUCCAUCUGCAGGCAUGAAGGCACCGUUUGCCUAUUUUGGUAUAGCCUGCCUCCUGACUUCCUAACCAUUAUCUACCCAGGUGUCUAUAUUCUCUGCCAAGUUGAAACGGAAAACCACACAUUGGAUUGUUUUAAACAUGUGUGAGCAUGGAAGGAGAAUACAGAUGUUUGACAAAUUAUGGCUCAACACCUUGCCUAUGGCACUUGCCCCUACCACACACAGAGACCCCGUGACCUUAAACUUCAGCUGUAUUUGAAGACCGAGUAAGUGGGUCUUCCAUGCAAACUAAUCUUAGACUUGGAGUUCUAUGACAUUUCUCCUUAAUCUUCUCCUUUGAAAUAUCCUUGUAAGUACCCUUCUCUCCAAUACAUGCAAUAUUACUUACACAUAUCCAGCUCUGAUGUAAAGUAUCCUUUAUUUAAAAUAAAGUAGAGAUUGAUAAAUUAUGUAACACAUACAGUAGAAAAAAUAUUCAUUUAGUGAGAGUAACAAUGUAGGUAUGUAUUUAUUGACAUGAAAAAUCAAAAGCAUAUCAUUUGGAAAAAGAUACUUUAUUGUUAACAUACACACAUAUAACUCAUAAUAAAGAUUUU